AAAUUUUGACAGUAGUUGGCUUACAGACACUGUGGAGUGAGGGUGCUAACGCUCCGGCGUAUCGUCCGCGCCUUUCACGUGGAUUUAUUUAUUAAUAUCACAAAUAUGAGCUUGGCAGUGCUUCUCCAGGCCGCGGAGUACAUAGAGCGGCGGGAGAGAGAAAUGGAACACGGGUACGCCUCCACGCUGCCCAUGCCAGACCACUUCAGGUUAAGCAAAGUGUCGAAACGGUCCCGAUCAAAGUCUAAGCUACAGAACAACAGGACGACACAUAAUGAGCUGGAGAAAAACAGGUAAGGAGGCUGUUUACUUUUACACACGUCCCAUAUACUAUACUGCCCUACCUUCCUUAUCUUAUAUUACAUACUUCCCUUACUUAAUAUGAAACAGUGCAUAGCUAAAUAUAGAUAGCCUUGCAAGGGCCAAGAGAUCUGUUGCUACCUCUAAUUCCUUCUUUGUGUUCCCUCGUGUCUCCUUUGCGAAAUCACCUGUUACCUUCACUCACCUGUUACCUUCACUCACCUGUUACCCUCAUCUCACCCCACCCCCGGCCCGUCACACCUGU